UCUCCAACCCUCACUUAACACAAAUCUGUGAUAUAACUUCUUUAACCAGCCUGGUGACUGGAAUCCUAGUGCUAUACCACAAAUAGAAAAAACAGAUUUCAAACUGGCUAGUUUCAGAAGCCCAGGAAGACUGUAUGACUGUAGAAGA